AACGAACGCUGGCGGCAUGCCUAACACAUGCAAGUCGAACGAGACCUUCGGGUCUAGUGGCGCACGGGUGCGUAACGCGUGGGAACCUGCCCUUAGGUUCGGAAUAACUCCCCGAAAGGGGUGCUAAUACCGGAUAAUGUCUUCGGACCAAAGAUUUAUCGCCUUUGGAUGGGCCCGCGUUGGAUUAGCUAGUUGGUAGGGUAAAAGCCUACCAAGGCGACGAUCCAUAGCUGGUCUGAGAGGAUGGUCAGCCACACUGGGACUGAGACACGGCCCAGACUCCUACGGGAGGCAGCAGUGGGGAAUAUUGGACAAUGGGCGAAAGCCUAAUCCAGCAAUGCCGCGUGAGUGAUGAAGGCCUUAGGGUUGUAAAGCUCUUUUACCCGGGAUGAUAAUGACAGUACCGGGAGAAUAAGCUCCGGCUAACUCCGUG
rnacentral:rRNA from 1 species